CGGGGAGCACCACAACAGGUGGAGCCUGCGGUUUAAUCGGACUCAACGCCGGGAAACUCACCAGAUAAGACAGCUGAAUGAUAGUCGGGCUGAAGACUCUACUUGACUAGCUGAGAGGAGGUGCAUGGCCGUCGUCAGCUCGUACUGUGAAGCAUCCUGUUAAGUCAGGCAACGAGCGAGACCCACGCCAACAGUUGCCAGCUCGUCCUCCGGGAUGGUGGGGACACUGUUGGGACCGCCUCUGCUAAAGAGGAGGAAGGAAUGGGCAACGGUAGGUCAGCAUGCCCCGAAUUAUCUGGGCUACACGCGGGCUACAAUGGGUGGGACAAUGGGUAUCGACACCGAAAGGUGAAGGCAAUCUCCUAAACCCAUCCGUAGUUCGGAUUGUGGGCUGCAACUCGCCCACAUGAAGCUGGAAUCUGUAGUAAUCGUGUCUCAAAAUGGCACGGUGAAUAUGUCCCUGCUCCUU
rnacentral:rRNA from 1 species